rnacentral:rRNA from 1 species
UACAGAGGUCCCGAGCGUUUGUUCGGAUUCACUGGGCGUAAAGGGUGCGUAGGUGGCGAGGAAAGUCGGAUGUGAAAGCUCGGAGCUCAACUCCGAAAUGGCAUUGGAAACUACCUUGCUCGAGGGUUGGAGGGGGGACUGGAAUUCUCGGUGUAGCAGUGAAAUGCGUAGAUAUCGAGAGGAACACCAGUGGCGAAGGCGAGUCCCUGGACAACUCCUGACACUGAGGCACGAAAGCUAGGGGAGCAAACAGG